rnacentral:rRNA from 1 species
GACGAACGCUGGCGGCGUGCUUAACACAUGCAAGUCGAACGCAGUGGCGGACGGGUGAGUAACGCGUAAUCAACCUGCUCUUCAGCGGGGGACAACAGUUGGAAACGACUGCUAAUACCGCAUACUGAAGGAGGGGUUUGCGUCUGAUUAGCUAGUUGGAGGGGUAACGGCCAACCAAGGCUGUGAUCAGUAGCCGGUCUGAGGGGAUGAACGGCCACAUUGGGACUGAGAAACGGCCCAGACUCCUACGGGAGGGAGCAGUGGGGAAUCGUCCGAAAUGGACGAAAGUCUGACGGAGCAAAGCCGCGGGAGUGAUGACGGCCUUCGGGUUGUAAAGCUCUGUUAAUCGGGACGCGGUACCGGAAGAGAAAGCCACGGCUAACUACGUGCCAGCAGCCGCGGUAAUUC